UCGAAGCACAGUUGUAAGUCGCUCUGGAUAAGGGCGUCUGCUAAAAACCUUAAA
rfam:Astyanax mexicanus chromosome 6, whole genome shotgun sequence.